rnacentral:rRNA from 1 species
GGCGAACGCCGGCGGCGAGCUUAACACAUUGCAAGUUCGAACGAAGAAGCCCUAGCUUGCUAGGUUGGAUUAGUGGCGAACGGGUUGAGUAAUACGUGAGUCGACCUACCUUUUGACUCUGGGAUAAGCCUGGGAAACUGGGUCUAAUACCGGAUACGACCAAUCUCCGCAUGGGGUGUUGGUGGAAAGCGUUAUGGAGUGGUUUUAGAUGGGCUCACGGCCUAUCAGCUUGUUGGUGAGGUAAUGGCUUACCAAGGCGACGACGGGUAGCCGGCCUGAGAGGGUGACCGGCCACACUGGGACUGAGACACGGCCCAGACUCCUACGGGAGGCAGCAGUGGGGAAUAUUGCACAAUGGGCGCAAGCCUGAUGCAGCGACGCCGCGUGAGGGAUGACGGCCUUCGGGUUGUAAACCUCUGUUAGCAUCGAAGAAGCGAAAGUGACGGUAGGUGCAGAGAAAGCGCCGGCUAACUACGUGCCAGCAGCCGCGGUAAUACGUAGGGCGCGAGCGUUGUCCGGAAUUAUUGGGCGUAAAGAGCUUGUAGGCGGUUGGUCGCGUCUGCUGUGAAAGGCUGGGGCUUAACCCUGGUUUUGCAGUGGGUACGGGCUAACUAGAGUGCAGUAGGGGAGACUGGAAUUCCUGGUGUAGCGGUGGAAUGCGCAGAUAUCAGGAGGAACACCGAUGGCGAAGGCAGGUCUCUGGGCUGUAACUGACGCUGAGAAGCGAAAGCAUGGGGAGCGAACAGGAUUAGAUACCCUGGUAAUCCAUGCCGUAAACGUUGGGCACUAGGUGUGGGGGACAUUCCACGUUUUCCGCGCCGUAGCUAACGCAUUAAGUGCCCCGCCUGGGGGAGUACGGCCGCAAGGCUAAAACUCAAAGAAAUUGACGGGGGCCCGCACAAGCGGCGGAGCAUGCGGAUUAAUUCGAUGCAACGCGAAGAACCUUACCAAGGCUUGACAUAUACUGGACUGCGUCAGAGAUGGCGUUUCCCUUCGGGGCUGGUAUACAGGUGGUGCAUGGUUGUCGUCAGCUCGUGUCGUGAGAUGUUGGGUUAAGUCCCGCAACGAGCGCAACCCUCGUUCUAUGUUGCCAGCACGUGAUGGUGGGGACUCAUAGGAGACUGCCGGGGUCAACUCGGAGGAAGGUGGGGAUGACGUCAAAUCAUCAUGCCCCUUAUGUCUUGGGCUUCACGCAUGCUACAAUGGCCGGUACAGAGGGUUGCGAUACUGUGAGGUGGAGCUAAUCCCUAAAAAGCCGGUCUCAGUUCGGAUUGGGGUUCUGCAAACUCGACCCCAUGAAAGUCGGAGUCGCUAGUAAUCGCAAUUCAGCAAACGCUGCGGUGAAUACGUUCCCGGGCCUUGUACACCCCGCCCG